GGAUUAUACACUAUAAAGUGAUCAAAUCAAUUAUAUUUGUUGUAUGUAAAGAGUGAAAGAUAUGGCUCAUAAGCUUGUGUAUGCUAUAACUUUAUUUAUUUUCCUAUUUCUUAUCGCAAAUAAUAUUGAGGAUGAUAUUUUUUGUAUAACUGAUAAUGAUUGCCCACCAAAUACGCUAGUUCAAAGGUAUAGGUGCAUUAAUGGCAAAUGUAAUCUGUCUUUUGUGUCCUACGGAUAGUAUGAGUCUCAUACUCAGAAUAUUACAAUGACACCAUGCAUGGAAGACUGAGUUCUUACACUUGCAAUAAGAAAUAACAAAUAUAUAUUUUGCUAAAAUCUUUUAUAGUUACCAUUUAUUUAUGGUCGUGAAUCCUAAUAAUUGUAUAUUUAUAUAUAUAUGUAUUUUUUUUAUCACCAUGAUCUUUAACUUAAGAAUAUGAAAUUAUAUUUAAAGACCUACCACAUAUAACUUCAAUUUUAUAUCAUUAGAUUGUCACGGUAAUGAAUUUUCAAACAAUGUCA